AGAGUUUGAUCAUGGCUCAGAACGAACGCUGGCGGCAGGCUUAACACAUGCAAGUCGAGCGCCCCGCAAGGGGAGCGGCAGACGGGUGAGUAACGCGUGGGAAUCUACCCAUCUCUACGGAAUAACUCAGGGAAACUUGUGCUAAUACCGUAUACGUCCUUAGGGAGAAAGAUUUAUCGGAGAUGGAUGAGCCCGCGUUGGAUUAGCUAGUUGGUGAGGUAAAGGCUCACCAAGGCGACGAUCCAUAGCUGGUCUGAGAGGAUGAUCAGCCACACUGGGACUGAGACACGGCCCAGACUCCUACGGGAGGCAGCAGUGGGGAAUAUUGGACAAUGGGCGCAAGCCUGAUCCAGCCAUGCCGCGUGAGUGAUGAAGGCCCUAGGGUUGUAAAGCUCUUUCACCGGUGAAGAUAAUGACGGUAACCGGAGAAGAAGCCCCGGCUAACUUCGUGCCAGCAGCCGCGGUAAUACGAAGGGGGCUAGCGUUGUUCGGAUUUACUGGGCGUAAAGCGCACGUAGGCGGACAUUUAAGUCAGAGGUGAAAUCCCAGGGCUCAACCCUGGAACUGCCUUUGAUACUGGGUGUCUUGAGUUCGAGAGAGGUAAGUGGAAUUCCGAGUGUAGAGGUGAAAUUCGUAGAUAUUCGGAGGAACACCAGUGGCGAAGGCGGCUUAC
rnacentral:rRNA from 1 species